GACGAACCGUGCAAACGUUAUUCGGAAUCACUGGGCUUAAAGCGUGCGUAGGCGGCUAAGAAAGUUGGGUGUGAAAUCCCUCGGCUCAACCGAGGAAUUGCGCUCAAAACUACUUAGCUUGAGGGAGUUAGAGGUGAGCGGAACUAAUGGUGGAGCGGUGAAAUGCGUUGAUAUCAUUAGGAACACCGGUGGCGAAAGCGGCUCACUGGGACUCUUCUGACGCUGAGGCACGAAAGCUAGGGUAGCGAAC
rnacentral:rRNA from 1 species